CAAAUUUACAUAUAAACAUUAAGGAGUGAGGAAGUUAAAACGAUACCAAUCGAGUUUUAGAGCUUUGGUGACCAUUUUAAAAGAAUAUAUGAUAAAUUCAAAGGUAAGUCUAUCGUAUUGCAUUGUCUUAAAUGAAUUCUCAGCUAAAAUACGGCAAUAAAUGGAGCAUAAACUUAGCUAAAUUUACUGUUGACAACGAGGUUGAGAGAUCCAUUGCUUUUUUGCCUUGAAUAGCUUUACCAUAGUCAUUUUACCUUAAAAUGUAGCUACCGAGGAUAUCUCUAAGAGAUUUUACACAGAUUAUUUGCACAAUCUCACGAUUUAAUAAUGCUGAUAACAUGAAAAUCCUUGUGCCAUUCUAUACUUGGCAUAAUCUCUACAUCAAUAGUUACCAGUUCACUAAUAUAAAUUCAAUUUGAACCAGUCCAUAUAUUAUUAUACACAAUGUAGUAUAGUUAAUUUGACCAUAUUUGAGAAGUAAGGGUGUAUUUCAUUACACAGACACUGCUGAAUUUUAGGUUACAUGCCAUUGGAUUGAUAUAUAAAAAACACUUGUAAAACACACACAUUAUCUUGUUGAUAGAAUAGUUAUUUGCAGUAUACUAACUGUUGGCAUACUCUAUUUCAGGGCUAUCAAUUGUUUUUGUCACUGGCAGUCUUUGAAAUACAAUCUUGCUCUGUGGCCUUUACUGACAAGUUGGCUUUUACUACAUAUGUGGCACUGACACUUCUUUAAUUAAUGCACCAGUCAGUGUAAACCCCCCAACCAGGGAGGGGCAGGGAUUUUGACUUGGAGGGGUAGUAAAAAAGCGAAAUUGUCCCCGCCCCCAGGGACGUCAAUGUCCCCUGCAUGUCUCUUAACCCCAGGAAAAUAGUUUUGUAUAAUCAUAGAUCAGCAAUAGAAAAUCAAAUUCAUUUAUGUUGUUGUAUUUAAACUUUUCUUGUCAAGAAAACUAAAACAGCAACACAGGAUAUAUAUGUUAACCACUGUCCAAGUCUCCCAUCAUCGGGGACAAAUUUAUAAUCAAAACUGACCACUUUCCCCGUUAAACCUUCCGCCCCUCCCCGGUUGGGGGCAGGGAUUUACAUUGACUGGUGCAUAACUAGAUGAUUGCAUGAAGCAUUGCAUGGAAGUUGAUUUAUAAUUAGUUUAUGAAUAAACUCACACUUUCAUUAUAAUGGUUGAUCAAAUAUAUCAUAUGCAUUUGAUUGGUUGAUGGUCCCUUAAUGGUAAUGGUGGUCAAAUCUGAACCUAUAUAAUGUCAAUAUGAUUUGAACCAUAUAAUGUCAAUAUACUGGAAAAGUAUCAAAUUAAAUUUUAAUUGUCAAUGUUGUGGAAAGUAAAUAAAUCAAACAAUUCUGUUUGUUUCAACUAACUAGUUCACUAUCACUUUGGUUUUCAAAUCAAAGAAUCUUUAACCUGGUUGAGCUUUUGAAAAAGUAGCUGAUUGAUUGAACGCAAGAUUAUUUUACUCUGUCUAACGCCAGACAAUUUCACUCGUCAAGGGGAAAGUGCUGCCACUCAGUGAACCAAUCAGAGCUCAAUGAGCAGCAGCACUCUCCCUCGAUAAGUAAAAUCAUCUGGCAUUAGAUGAAGUGAAAUAAACUAGUAAAGUAGGGUGCAUUGGGGCACAAUGCAGCUUACUGGGUUAACUGGAAAAUAUAUUUAUUAAACAAUAUACACCCUAUACUUGUAUUUCAAUUCACAGCAUGAUUUAGUAUGCUUAUGUCUAUUUGACCUAAGUACCUGACAGGAAUGAUAUUUGAAUCACACCUGUAUUCAUUGAACAAAGCUAAUUUAAAUGUACAUUAAUUGUACAUGAACCAUGUAAAUGUAAAAACUAGCUAGAGCAAAAACACACCCACACAGCUUUGUUUUUUUAUUUUUCUUGAGAAGGAAUAACUGAGUUACAAUGAGACCAGUAUCAACAAUUUCAAAAAGGUAUUGUACAAAAAUAUUACAAACAUAAGACACUUUAAAGACAGAAAACACACAAAGUAUGUCACUACAGAAACUGUAUUCUGUGAUAUAGACGAUAUUGCUUUAAGGAAACUUGCAGCUUUUAGGGGUCUGUUUAUAUCGAAACUGGCUGGCCUGCUAAGUGAGACAGCCCGGUAAGUGAGAUCUCGCUGUCUACUUAUUUUUAUAGUAAAAAUUAUAAUUAAACUUGUUUCUAUGUACAAGCGGGAGGCCCUGUUGCAGAGACCAGGAUGGAAAUUUCUCCAUAUAAACAAUCACAAGCAGGCUAGCCCAGUUGCCAGGAUGAAAGUUCAACGAUACUGCUGCAAGCUAUUUUUAACAACUGUCAAAACAAUGUCAAAACAACAAAAUUGUCCCGGGUAAGCAGGAUGAAAUUUUCUCAAAUAAACACAAGAGAAAUCAUCCUGCUUACCUACCUUACCGGGCUGUCUCGCUAAGCGGGCCAGCCCGGCUUCCAUACAAACAGGCCCUAACAAUCUCUGUCAGGCAAUUACAAUGUUCUAAUGUCCAAACUCUAAAGUAUUAUAAACAAGCAGGACAGACCACUUGUUGCUAGUAUUAAAGUCAUCAACAUGUGAUAUCGACAUUACAGUGUAUAAACUAAAGUAAUUCAGCUUCUACACAUGAAGCAACUUUAAACACUAUCCUUGAAUCCUUACACUUUAUCAAUUCAUUGAAGUUUGUCAUUCUAUUUGUAGUAUUACAUCACAAGACAUAUUCUAUUUGUAGUAUCAAGUCACAUCAGGAUUUUAUAAUCUAGCGUUUUUGGACCCAAGUGAUCUAGAGUUCUAUCUUGUUAAAACCUAUCCAAGG
rnacentral:lncRNA from 1 species